rnacentral:rRNA from 1 species
GGCUCAGUGGCGGACGGGUGAGUAACACGUAGGAACCUGCCCAGAAGUGGGGGAUAACUCCUCGAAAGAGGGGCUAAUACCGCAUACGGUCUACGGACCAAAGCAGCAAUGCGCUACUGGAGGGGCCUGCGUAAGAUUAGCUAGUUGGUAGGGUAAAGGCCUACCAAGGCGACGAUCUUUAGCUGGUCUGAGAGGAUGAUCAGCCACACUGGAACUGAGACACGGUCCAGACUCC